ensembl:lincRNA
AAGACAUCAAGGGCUUCCUGGCAGAAGAACUGACAGGGAUGUGUGCAGAAGAUCCUUGUAUACACAUCACAGGCAAGUCCCUGUGCUCUGAGACAACGCAGGGAUGACAGAUGUCAAGAACAAAUGUUAAAGACAUGAUUGAAGCAAAACAUAACACAAAGAUGGUCAGAGCUUGGCAUGAUGGCUUCAGACCUGCUGUCCCAUGUGCGGGAGGGGAGGCCCAGUGGAAGCAUGCCGUGGCUGGACGGCAGGGUCCUGCUGCCACCAGCGCAUCCCUCGGAACCUGUCCACUUGUGGAGCUGCAUUAG